GCUAAUACCGCAUAACGUCGCAAGACCAAAGAGGGGGACCUUCGGGCCUCUUGCCAUCGGAUGUGCCCAGAUGGGAUUAGCUUGUUGGUGGGGUAACGGCUCACCAAGGCGACGAUCCCUAGCUGGUCUGAGAGGAUGACCAGCCACACUGGAACUGAGACACGGUCCAGACUCCUACGGGAGGCAGCAGUGGGGAAUAUUGCACAAUGGGCGCAAGCCUGAUGCAGCCAUGCCGCGUGUAUGAAGAAGGCCUUCGGGUUGUAAAGUACUUUCAGCGGGGAGGAAGGGAGUAAAGUUAAUACCUUUGCUCAUUGACGUUACCCGCAGAAGAAGCACCGGCUAACUCCGUGCCAGCAGCCGCGGUAAUACGGAGGGUGCAAGCGUUAAUCGGAAUUACUGGGCGUAAAGCGCACGCAGGCGGUUUGUUAAGUCAGAUGUGAAAUCCCCCGG
rnacentral:rRNA from 1 species